UGGGGGAAUAUUGGGGCAAUGGGCGCAAGCCUGACCCAGCAACGCCGCGUGAGGGAAGAAGGUUUUCGGAUUGUAAACCUCUGUCGCAGAAGACGAAGGAAGUGACGGUAAUCUGUGAGGAAGCCCCGGCUAACUACGUGCCAGCAGCCGCGGUAAUACGUAGGGGGCGAGCGUUGUCCGGAAUUACUGGGUUUAAAGGGUGCGCAGGCGGCGCGCCAAGUCAGCGGUCAAAGUUCCGGGCUCAACCCGGUGUCGCCGUUGAAACUGGCGUGCUCGAGUGCGUGCGAGGAAGGCGGAAUGCGUUGUGUAGCGGUGAAAUGCAUAGAUAUGACGCAGAACUCCGACUGCGAAGGCAGCUUUCCAGCGCGCUACUGACGCUGAGGCACGAAAGCGUGGGGAUCGAACAGGAUUAGAUACCCUGGUAGU
rnacentral:rRNA from 1 species